AUGAGGUCGUCGGUCCAGGCCCAGCCCAUGCGGCUCAAGCUCAAGGCCGUGUACCAGCUGAUCGUGGACAACUUCCUCGCCGCUUCAUGUGCCGUCGUCCUGCUGCGGCUCGGCCCGGCGGAGAUCAUCAGCUGGCUCCGACCAGCGCACCUGUUCUCUGCUGCGGCAGCAGCCGCCGUGUACCUAAUGCUCCGCCCGCGCGCGGUGUACCUGAUCGACUACGCCUGCUUCGACACCUCGCCGCUCGCCCGCGUCCCCAUGGCCUCAUUCAUCGAGCACACCAAGCAUACGCCCACCAUCAGCGAGCGCAGCGUCCGGUUCAUGUCCCGGCUGCUGGCGCGCUCGGGGCUCGGGGAGCAGACCUGCCUGCCGGAGGCGCACCACUGCGUCCCGACGCACGAGUGCUGCACCCUCGACAACGCCCGCGCCGAGUUCGAGCUCGUCGUCUUCUCGGCCAUCGACGACCUGCUCGCCAAGACCGGCGUCGCCCCAGACGCGAUCGGCGUGCUCGUCCUCAACUGCAGCCUCUUCUGCCCCACGCCGUCCUUGGUCGACAUCAUCGUGAACAAGUACAACCUGCGCUGCGACAUCCGUAGCGUGAACCUCUCCGGCAUGGGGUGCAGCGCGGGGCUCAUCUCCGUGGGGCUCGCCAAUAACCUCCUGCAGGUUGUUCCCCGGGGGUCCCACGCGCUGGUCGUCUCCACGGAGACCAUCACGCCGAACUACUACGUCGGCAACGAGCGCGCGAUGCUCCUGCCAAACUGCCUGUUCCGCGUCGGCGGGGUGGCGGCGCUGCUGUCGACGUCCCCCGCGAACGCCCGGUUCCGCCUGAGGCACGUCGUGCGCACCUUCACCGGCGCGAACGACGACGAGGCUUACCGCUGCGUGUUCCAGGAGGAGGACGACCAGGGGAAUGUCGGGAUCAACCUCAGCAAGAACCUGAUGGCCAUCGCCGGGAAUUCACUCCAGGCCAACAUCACCGAGAUCGCGCCGCUCGUCCUGCCUUUCUCCGAGCAGCUCCUCUUCGCCAUCUCCUUUGUUGCAUGUAAGGUGCUUCGCGCACGUGUCAAGCCCUACAUCCCAGACUUCUCCAUGGCAUUCAAGCACUUGUGUAUUCACGCGGGGGGCCGUGCGGUCAUCGACGAGCUGCAGACGAGGCUCCGCCUCUCGGACGAGCAGGUGGAGGCGUCGCGGAUGACGCUGCACCGGUUCGGAAACACGUCUAGUAGCUCGCUGUGGUACGAGCUGGCGUACGUGGAGGCCAAAGGACGGAUGCGUAAGGGCCACCGUGUUUGGAUGAUCGGCUUCGGCUCAGGGUUCAAGUGCAACAGCGUGGUGUGGGAGUGCAUCCAGCCUGCUGCCCGCAACACCCAUGGGCCGUGGACCACGUCCAUCCAUAGAUAUCCAGUGGACAUUCCCGAAGUUCUAAGCCAUUAG
rnacentral:rRNA from 1 species